UAGAGCGACAAGCUUUUAUAGAUAGUUUAUAUAUAGUAACAAUAAUACAUAAUCUGUUGUUCACAUCAACAUACUGAUAUUUUUUUUCUGACAAGUUUCCUGUUAAAUUGUCUGAUACAUUUACUGUCAAAUAGCUUAUGAAUUAUAUUUUAGAUAAAAUGGAUCAAGAAAACUAUAUAAUAAAUGCACAAGAAGUAGCAAAAGUUGUCGAAACUAAAACAAAAUUAAAUAGACGCUAUUUUAGAGAAGGUGGCAUUGUGUCUACAAGGAAAUUAGAGACGAUCCCCAUCAGAUUUCACGUAAGAAAAACUUGCAUCCCUAAUUCAGUCAAAGUGCCAGCCUCCCUUUUACCUCAAGGUAUCUCAGAUAUCCUGCCUUAAAGAAAUUUCCAUUAGCUACCAUGUAUCAAAAAUAAAAAUUUCCUUUAUAAUAAAUGUAAUUUAAUAUAAUAAAAUGUGUUUACUCUGUA